AUUGAACGCUGGCGGCAUGCCUUACACAUGCAAGUCGAACGGUAACAGGUCUUCGGAUGCUGACGAGUGGCGAACGGGUGAGUAAUACAUCGGAACGUGCCCGAGAGUGGGGGAUAACGAAGCGAAAGCUUUGCUAAUACCGCAUACGAUCUCAGGAUGAAAGCAGGGGACCGCAAGGCCUUGCGCUCACCGAGCGGCCGAUGGCAGAUUAGGUAGUUGGUGGGAUAAAAGCUUACCAAGCCGACGAUCUGUAGCUGGUCUGAGAGGACGACCAGCCACACUGGGACUGAGACACGGCCCAGACUCCUACGGGAGGCAGCAGUGGGGAAUUUUGGACAAUGGGCGCAAGCCUGAUCCAGCCAUGCCGCGUGCAGGGUGAAGGCCUUCGGGUUGUAAACUGCUUUUGUACGGAACGAAAAGACUCCUUCUAAUAAAGGGGGUCCAUGACGGUACCGUAAGAAUAAGCACCGGCUAACUACGUGCCAGCAGCCGCCGUAACAC
rnacentral:rRNA from 1 species